ensembl:lncRNA
GCAAGGACCUUUGCUGCAAUGUCACAUUACAGCAGCGUCAGAGGAGAGAACAGGCAACUCUCGGCCGGUGGACACAAAGGGGAAUGGAGAAAAGCGCAUAACCCUCAGGUUGAUCACAGGGUGGGGCUGCUGAGGCUACAUGGAGGAACAGCCCAUCCACUUCAGGAGCUGUUGGUGCCACGGGUAGGAGUGACUGGCUGAUCCCGGUGGUGGUUCCCUUCAUUUUUUUCUUUGCAGUGCACCUCUGUCAAUAGUUUGUGGUUUGUUUUGUUUUUCACGUGUGUUGGAACAUUAGGCCCCUUCCCCUCA